GUGAUUUACCUACUCCUAGUCCUAGGCACGAAAGCAGUGUAUUCCAUGGUGCAGUUCAUAGGAUUGAGAGGUAUCAGGAACUUAGCUCCAACUUAUCCUCAUCCGAAGACGAGUUGAUCUUGGCAACCUUGAUCAGGUGGAUGCAGUAAAAUGUGCAAGCAGUAACCAAGCAAGGCUGCUUCUCUCUUCAUGCCGUCCACAGUUGAGCAGGCUCGUGCUAAAUAGUUCAUCAGACUUGUAGCAGAUCCCGCAUUGACAACCAAAAGUGGAUCAAAUCGAUACCGAACGAAGCUCAGUCACCAGCCUUUGGUACUGAUCGUCUCCAUUUGGUAUGAAUUGGCGUCCAAUCUUGCUUCUCGUCUAAAAACUCAACAGAUCAGUGUCGCUGUUACUGAUAAUCAAUGCACACUGUGGCUGUGCGGCCUAUUCGGUUUGGUGGAUUUUCGCGGGAAUUUUGGAGAAAUCGAACUGUUUCCUAUGAAAAUACUGUAAAAUUCUUGCGUUCCUAGGAA